GGGCCCGCACAAGCGGUGGAGCAUGUGGUUUAAUUCGAUGAUACGCGAGGAACCUUACCAGGACUUAAAUGUAAGUUGCAUGAUUCAGAAAUGAAUCUUUCUUCGGACUACUUACAAGGUGCUGCAUGGUUGUCGUCAGCUCGUGCCGUGAGGUGUCGGGUUAAGUCCCUUAACGAGCGCAACCCCUAUCUCUAGUUGCCAGCGGAUAAUGCCGGGGACUCUAGAGAAACUGCCCGUGCAAACGGUGAGGAAGGUGGGGAUGACGUCAAAUCAUCACGGCCCUUACGUCCUGGGCUACACACGUGCUACAAUGGUCGGUACAGAGGGCAGCUACCACGUGAGUGGAUGCAAAUCUCGAAAGCCGAUCUCAGUUCGGAUUGGAGUCUGCAACUCGACUCCAUGAAGUUGGAAUCGCUAGUAAUCG
rnacentral:rRNA from 1 species